GGCAAUAACUACACUGAGAAAAGUGGUGAGCUGUGGAGGGUGCAGAAGGGCAAGCGCCAGCCCCGAGGGCCCGCUGGAGAGGUGAGUUACAGGCGCGUUCUGCCCGGGUGAGGGAAGGCCGGGAGGGACGCGGGAACCUGGAGCAUUCGCCCAAGCCAAGGUCCUUGCAGGAAAAUGUCCGGGAAACUUGUGUCCUAAUGUCCCUGUAUGGGGAGGGGGCAAUCUGGGCCCCAUGCACCCUCCAAAAAGACCUGAACCCCUUUUGCCAUGGGGGGAGGACCGCAAAGAGCCUGCAGAUGCACUGGGGGUGGGCAGCCACGCAGCGGGGUCAAAGGGCUUUGCUCCCUCCGGGUGCCGGCGGGGCCGAGCAUCCCUGGUGUUACACGGGCACCCCAAAUGUAAUGGGGGGUGGACCCAGGGCACAGGGCUGACGGGGAAAAGGCAGAGCCAAAAAAAGCCAGGCAGUUCCCUGCCAGAGCCUCCUCCCCGCCUGGGUGCGGGACAUGACAGCCGGGGGUCAGCAAGCAACCACGCAGCCCGGGACGAAGGGCUGCCCGGAGCGAUGCCCGGGAAGCACCGAUUGCUCAYGCUUCUGCGUCCUCUGGGCCGCGAUGGUGGCCGGACUUCACACGAGGCUGCGCAGGCGGCAGGAAAACCCGGCCAAAGGGAGCCACUCCGCAGCGCGCAGGCAUGGCAGGAGCGUGGCCCCGUGCACCAACCUUAGCGGUGCCGUGGCCCCCUGCCCACGACAGCGCGCUGCUCUGCGGAUCCCGGCAGCCUGACGGAGGAGCCCCUGCUCUCGGCUGCCGCUCCGCUGCUGCUGGCUGCAGAGUCAUAACGCGGAUUCCUGGGGAUGAAGGGGCUGGACGGGGCCAGGGGCUCAUGUCUUCUCCUCCAUGGGGCGGCGAGUCCACGUGCUUGUUCUGCUCUCCUGCUGGGCCAGAUCCUGCAGCAUCCCUGCGGGUCCAGCACCAGCUGCCCCGGGCGCAGGGCACGCAGGUUUGGGGUUUUUUCCAUUCAAAACUGAGGAAUCCCGAAACAGAGAGUACAUGGCUUAGAGGACCAAAAAUAUGGGUCUCUGGCGGCGUCCCCUCACCUGAAGGAGGUUCCUCUGCCAGCAGCCAGGGAAACCAGGAUGCAGCGAAAGCGUCUUCGAGCGCAGAAAGCAUGGCUUUCUUCCUCCUUUGCUUCCCAGCUCUUAAAGAAAUGCGGAUAUACCUGGGGAGGGUAUUGAGCAUAGAGCAACAGCUCCAAAAGCCCGGCUGCUCCCGGGGUGAGAUGGCGUGGGAGGAGGCGCAUAGUGAAAAGCCGGGAGCCAAGCAGGGACUUGGCCCUGUGUUCACCAGAAAGGCCCAUAACCAACAGUUUUCYGCUCACUGAAGCCACCAAUGGCCACUGAAUCGCUCUGGUUGUCACCUGGGUUUUAAGCAGGCUGUGAGGCACCAGCGUCCCUGCAGCUGGAGAGCAUCCACGUGGCACGGUGAGAGGAGGCUGCUUUUCCCUUUGCAAACCAGAACAGAUCCUGUCUUCUGUUCAAAGCAUUUUGUUUUKUCCUCCCCUAAAUGUCACCCCUGCAAACGCCCGUCCGGCUGCAUCGGGGCACACUGGCUCCAUCUCUGCCCGCRUCCUCUGGGGCUGGGGUGCUGCACCGGCCCCUUCGUGCUGAUUGCAGCAGCUUAAUUGAACCACGGGAAAAAAAAAAAAAUCUCAUUUGCAAAUAUUCCCUUUGAUUUUGUAUUAUUAUUAUUAUUAAGUCAACGGAGCGUGGCUGAAAAUUAAGAGCGAGAAGAAGAGCAGAAAAAGGAAUCGGUUGAGUUUCCCUUGGCUCACCAUGCUCUUAGCCGAGGUGCCUCCCUUUGCCAGCCUGCUGCAAGGAUCCCACCUGCACGCAGCAGCCGGGAGCGAGGCCCACAAGGCCCACGGCCAAGCCAAGGCUGUGUUUCCCUGUCUCCGGUCUCACAUAGGGUGUCCCAUGUCCUGCAUCCCCUGUGCCGUGUCCCCAGUCCCACGGUGGUGGUGCAAGGCCAUCCAAACCUAUGGUUUUCAGGUUUAAUCCUAUCUCCUCGGCAAGAUGAACGGUGCCGAAGCAGCUGGGGGGAGGACGCUGCAGGAGGAUGGUGUUGCUUCUGCAAUCCCAUCCCCAACUCUCCACACCCCUCAGCCAUGGCUCGGCCGCUCCGUGGCGGGGCUGCUUGAACCUGCCAGGGCCUCCCAAGCUAUUCGACACCUCAAAGGGGGGGGCAGGAGAAAUGCGAAUCUGCCGAAACUUGUCUCCUGGGUGGAUCGCGACACCUCCCGGCUGCAGUGGCGGGUGUCCGCUCUGGCGCGAGCCUUGGAUGCUGAUGGGGAGGAAGGCUCUCCGUGACGCCCUCCAGCAGCA
rnacentral:lncRNA from 1 species